UACGUAGGGGGGCAAGCGUUGUCCGGAAUUAUUGGGCGUAAAGAGCUCGUAGGCGGUCUGUCGCGUCGGAUGUGAAAAAUCCAGGGCUCAACCCUGGACCUGCAUUCGAUACGGGCAGACUAGAGUUCGGUAGGGGAGACUGGAAUUCCUGGUGUAGCGGUGAAAUGCGCAGAUAUCAGGAGGAACACCGGUGGCGAAGGCGGGUCUCUGGGCCGAAACUGACGCUGAGGAGCGAAAGCGUGGGGAGCAAACAGG
rnacentral:rRNA from 1 species